UCCGGUUUGACACCGGCAGUCCCCUUAGAGUCCCCGGCAUAACCCGAUGGUAACUAAGGGCAAAGGUUUCGCUCGUUAAGGGACUUAACCCGACAUCUCACGACACGAGCUGACGACAGCCAUGCAGCACCUGUACCAGUUGUACCCCGAAGGGCCUACCCCACUUUCAUGGGGAUAAUCCUGGCAUGUCAAGCCCAGGUAAGGUUCUGCGCGUUGCUUCGAAUUGAACCACAUGCUCCACCGCUUGUGUGAGCCCCCGUCAAUUCCUUUGAGUUUUAGCCUUGCGACCGUACUUCCCAGGCGGUCCACUUAGCACUUUUGCUUCGUUACUGAGAGUGUCAAACCCCCA
rnacentral:misc_RNA from 1 species